AGAGAGGAGGUCUUGCUGUGUCACCUAUGCUAGAGUGCAGUAGUACAAUCAUAGCUCACUGCAGCCUUAAAUUCUGGGCUCAAAUGAUCCUCCCACCUCAGCUUCCUGAGUGGCUGGAAAUGCAGGCACGUGCCACCAUGCCUGGCUUCUACACUUAAGAAUCACGAAAUCCACUUUCAUUCUUUAAAAAUUUAUUAUUUAUUAUUAAAAAUCUCAAACACAGACAUAUGGGGAUGCCAGCAUUCCCCUCCUGGAUACCAGGUAGCUUCAGCCCUAGAAGGCAUGAUAGAAGAAAAUACUUGUUACACAUCCUUGUCAACUCUCAGAGGGAUCUUGAGCAGGGGACGGAGGAAACGCAGAUGGAGUAAACACAGGAUGUUUGCUCCCUGCUGCAAUAGCCCCAGGUACAUACCCAGCUGAAGGGAAUGGGAUGGUACGCCUGUGAGAAGCUACAGGCCAGGGGCUUAGAGGUUGUCAAUUGGGGACAAGGGAGUUCAUGGGGACACUGUGAACACAGAAAAAAAUGAGGUAAGACAAAAGAGCCAUCAAUCACAAAACUUAAAAACUAAGAAUGAUAGAGUCAAAAGGCACCAGGGAGAAGGGAGGACAGGAGCAGAGGGUAGGAAGAGCCAGGGGAAUCAUUAGGUAGGAACUGGAUAGGAACACAAAGUAGUGGAGAAUGGCUUAGCUUUACCCUUUUACUUUUCCUGGCCACACCUGAGUUCAGAUCUGUGUGGUGGGACAGGUAGAAGUAAUACUCACUGGGGCAAAGACAAAACCAGGUCGAGGGUCCAAAGGUGACUUCUCAUUUCCCUGAAAUCAAAGGAAAUAAAAGAAAUAAAGCUGGGCCAGGGGUCUAUUUUCAUAACUCAAUCUC